UACGUAGGGGGCAAGCGUUAUCCGGAUUUACUGGGUGUAAAGGGGGCGCAGACGGCGAUGCAAGCCAGGAGUGAAAGCCCAGGGCCCAACCCCGGGACUGCUCUUGGAACUGCGUGGCUGGAGUGCAGGAGGGGCAGGCGGAAUUCCUGGUGUAGCGGUGAAAUGCGUAGAUAUCAGGAGGAACACCGGUGGUGAAGGCGGCCUGCUGGACUGCAACUGACGUUGAGGCCCGAAAGCGUGGGGAGCAAACAGG
rnacentral:rRNA from 1 species